rnacentral:rRNA from 1 species
GACGAACGCUGGCGGCGUGCUUAACACAUGCCAGUCGAACGGAAAGGCCCUGCUUUUGUGGGGUGCUCGAGUGGCGAACGGGUGAGUAACACGUGAGUAACCUGCCCUUGACUUUGGGAUAACUUCAGGAAACUGGGGCGAAUACCGGAUAGGAUCUCCUGCUGCAUGGUGGGGGUUGGAAAGUUUCGGCGGUUGGGGAUGGACUCGCGGCUUAUCAGCUUGUUGGUGAGGUAGUGGCUUACCAAGGCUUUGACGGGUAGCCGGCCUGAGAGGGUGACCGGCCACAUUGGGACUGAGAUACGGACCAGACUCCUACGGGAGGCAACAGUGGGGAAUAUUGCACAAUGGGCGGACGCCUGAGGCAGCAACGCCGCGUGCGGGAUGACGGCCUUCGGGUUGUAAACCGCUUUCGCCUGUGACGAAGCGUGAGUGACGGUAAUGGGUAAAGAAGCACCGGCUAACUACGUG